UGCUAUGAUGUUGUAAUUUGCGUCCUAUCCGGUCUUCAGGGGCAGUAGCCUGCUGUCCACUCGCUGUUGCCGUUGAGCUGACGACUUUCUGAAACUGAGCA
ensembl:snoRNA SNORD16 Small nucleolar RNA SNORD16